AGCAGCCGCGGUAAUUCCAGCUCCAAUAGCGUAUAUUAAAGUUGUUGCAGUUAAAAAGCUCGUAGUUGAAUUUCGGGGUUAGUAGGUUGGUCAUGCCUCUGGUAUGUACUGGUCUCACUGAUUCCUCCUUCCUGAUGAGCUGUAAUGCCAUUAAUUCGGUGUUGCAGGGAAUCUGGACUGUUACUUUGAAAAAAUUAGAGUGUUUAAAGCAGGCUAACGCUUGAAUACAUUAGCAUGGAAUAAUGAAAUAGGACGUUCGAUCCUAUUUUGUUGGUUUCUAGGAUUGACGUAAUGAUUAAUAGGGAUAGUUGGGGGCAUUAGUAUUCAAUUGUCAGAGGUGAAAUUCUUGGAUUUAUUGAAGACUAACUACUGCGAAAGCAUUUGCCAAGGAUGUUUUCAU
rnacentral:rRNA from 1 species